GCUGCGUGCAGUGGUGCACGCCUGUAAUCCCAGCUGCUCAGGAGGCUGAGACAGGAGGAUUGCAAGUUCAAAGCCAGCCUCAGCAAAAGUGAGAUGUUCAGUAACUCAGUGAGACCCUGUCUCUA
rnacentral:sRNA from 1 species